GCCCUUGUGGCCUAAUGGUUAAGGUGCUGAUCUCCGGAGUUAGUGAUUGCGGGUUCAAGUCCCGCCAGGGGCU